UACGUAGGGGGCUAGCGUUGUCCGGAAUCAUUGGGCGUAAAGAGCGUGUAGGCUGCUCGGUAAGUCCGCUGUGAAAUCCCGGGGCUCAACCCCGGGCCUGCAGUGGAUACGGGCUGGCUAGAGGCAGGCAGGGGAGAACGGAAUUCCUGGUGUAGCGGUGAAAUGCGCAGAUAUCAGGAGGAACACCGGUGGCGAAGGCGGGUCUCUGGGCCGAUACUGACGCUGAGGAGCGAAAGCGUGGGGAGCGAACAGG
rnacentral:rRNA from 1 species